rnacentral:rRNA from 1 species
UACCAGCACCCCGAGUGGUCGGGACGUUUUAUUGGGCCUAAAGCAUCCGUAGCCGGUUCUACAAGUCUUCCGUUAAAUCCAGCUGCUUAACAGAUGGGCUGCGGAAGAUACUAUGGAGCUAGGAGGCGGGAGAGGCAAGCGGUACUCGAUGGGUAGGGGUAAAAUCCGUUGAUCCAUUGAAGACCACCAGUGGCGAAGGCGGCUUUCUGGACGAUAACUGACGCUGAGACGCGAAAGCGUGGGGAGCAAACAGG